rnacentral:rRNA from 1 species
AACGAACGCUGGCGGCAUGCCUAACACAUGCAAGUCGAACGAGACCUUCGGGUCUAGUGGCGCACGGGUGCGUAACGCGUGGGAACCUGCCCUUAGGUUCGGAAUAACUCCCCGAAAGGGGUGCUAAUACCGGAUAAUGUCUUCGGACCAAAGAUUUAUCGCCUUUGGUUGGGCCCGCGUUGGAUUAGCUAGUUGGUAGGGUAAAAGCCUACCAAGGCGACGAUCCAUAGCUGGUCUGAGAGGAUGAUCAGCCACACUGGGAGUGAGACACGGCACAGCCUCGUACGGGAGGCGGCAGUAGGGAAUAUUGGACAAUCGGCGGAAGGCUGAUCCAGCAAUGCCGCGUGAGUGAUGAAGGCCUUAGUGUUGUAAAGCUCUUUUACCCGGGAUGAUAAUGACAGUACCGGGAGAAUAAGCGCCGGCUAACUACGUG